GGGGGGGGGGGGGCGGGGGCUUCAGCCCUCGAUCGAUGUACUACACCGACGCCGUGUUAUAUUGCUGCAAGCAACGAGGCAGAAACAAAUUACUUGUUAGAUGUAGUGGUGCCUCUCAAACAAUACGGGCGCAUGCAGAUCUGUUGCUGCUGCGUUUACAGAUCUUGUACAGCUGCUGCUGCUAGGAUGUGGCUUCUCGGUUGUUUUGUUAGCGGAGAAGUUUGUCUCCCAUAUUUAAUAAACCUUUUAUCCCCCUGCAUCUCCUGCUGCCAAUUUGUAGGAGCGGCUGCAGCAAUAUAAUUAAGGGCCUAUGGCGCAAUGGUAGCGCGUCUGACUCCAGAUCAGAAGGUUGGGCGUUCGACUCGCUCUGGGCUCAAUUGCUUGCAUGUGUCGCUUGUUUGUUUCUUCACAUUCAUCGAUUGUUCUAAUUAAUGACACACUGAGGCAAGGUCUGUCUCGCUUAAAGGAUAGUGAGCCCAGAGCGAGUCGAACGCCCAACCUUCUGAUCUGGAGUCAGACGCGCUACCAUUGCGCCAUAGGCCCGACACGCGGAGGCCGGGUGUGGUACAAGUGUGGUACUAAUAACUACAAUCGACGACUGUGGGAUAUACUCGUAGCCAACUACUACCUCUUAAUCUAAUUUGCGACGUGCAUGCAUGCAUGGAUUAACGACAUUCUCACUGACCCUAUCUUCUAUUUAGCGGCACCACAGCCAAGGGAACGGGCUUGACGGAAUCAGCGGGGAGAGAAGACCCUGUUGAGCUUCACUCUACUAGUCCGACUUUGUGGAACGACUUGGGGGGUGUACCAUUGGUGGGAACAUAGGUGGGAGCUCCGGCGAUCGUGAAAUACCACUACCCUCAGUGUCGUUUUACUUACUCCGUCAGGUUUAGACCGUUGUGAGACAGCUUAGGUUCAGCAAAGGGAGGUUAGUUAGUUUUGUAAAGGACAUGCAUAAGCGCCACAGAUUCAUCCAUAGCGUGCGCAAGUCAUGAACGAAAGCAUACAAGAACACCGUGUUCUGUUCAGGACCCCUGAGAGGUUUAGCUGUUGGGGUUUAGGCUUGUUUCCUCUUGUCUCUAGCAUCACGGUAAUGCGGACACCGUCUUGUGGUGUUGCCCCUAUUGCUUUUGUUGGUGUACUUGCUUAUGGCCCUGCUAUUA
rnacentral:ncRNA from 1 species